rnacentral:tRNA from 1 species
GAAGGUGUAGCUCAAGCAGUGGAGUGCAUGCAUAGCAUGCCUGAGGUCCUGGGUUCAAUCCCCAGUACCUCCU